AGAGUUUGAUCCUGGCUCAGGACGAACGCUGGCGGCGUGCCUAAUACAUGCAAGUCGAACGAACUCUGGUAUUGAUUGGUGCUUGCAUCAUGAUUUACAUUUGAGUGAGUGGCGAACUGGUGAGUAACACGUGGGAAACCUGCCCAGAAGCGGGGGAUAACACCUGAACAGAUGCUAAUACCGCAUAACAACUUGGACCGCAUGGUCCGAGCUUGAAAGAUGGCUUCGGCUAUCACUUUUGGAUGGUCCCGCGGCGUAUUAGCUAGAUGGUGGGGUAACGGCUCACCAUGGCAAUGAUACGUAGCCGACCUGAGAGGGUAAUCGGCCACAUUGGGACUGAGACACGGCCCAAACUCCUACGGGAGGCAGCAGUAGGGAAUCUUCCACAAUGGACGAAAGUCUGAGAGCAACGCCGCGUGAGUGAAGAAGGGUUUCGGCUCGUAAAACUCUGUUGUUAAAGAAGAACAUAUCUGAGAGUAACUGUUCAGGUAUUGACGGUAUUUAACCAGAAAGCCACGGCUAACUACGUGCCAGCAGCCGCGGUAAUACGUAGGUGGCAAGCGUUGUCCGGAUUUAUUGGGCGUAAAGCGAGCGCAGGCGGUUUUUUAAGUCUGAUGUGAAAGCCUUCGGCUCAACCGAAGAAGUGCAUCGGAAACUGGGAAACUUGAGUGCAGAAGAGGACAGUGGAACUCCAUGUGUAGCGGUGAAAUGCGUAGAUAUAUGGAAGAACACCAGUGGCGAAGGCGGCUGUCUGGUCUGUAACUGACGCUGAGGCUCGAAAGUAUGGGUAGCAAACAGGAUUAGAUACCCUGGUAGUCCAUACCGUAAACGAUGAAUGCUAAGUGUUGGAGGGUUUCCGCCCUUCAGUGCUGCAGCUAACGCAUUAAGCAUUCCGCCUGGGGAGUACGGCCGCAAGGCUGAAACUCAAAGGAAUUGACGGGGGCCCGCACAAGCGGUGGAGCAUGUGGUUUAAUUCGAAGCUACGCGAAGAACCUUACCAGGUCUUGACAUACUAUGCAAAUCUAAGAGAUUAGACGUUCCCUUCGGGGACAUGGAUACAGGUGGUGCAUGGUUGUCGUCAGCUCGUGUCGUGAGAUGUUGGGUUAAGUCCCGCAACGAGCGCAACCCUUAUUAUCAGUUGCCAGCAUUAAGUUGGGCACUCUGGUGAGACUGCCGGUGACAAACCGGAGGAAGGUGGGGAUGACGUCAAAUCAUCAUGCCCCUUAUGACCUGGGCUACACACGUGCUACAAUGGAUGGUACAACGAGUUGCGAACUCGCGAGAGUAAGCUAAUCUCUUAAAGCCAUUCUCAGUUCGGAUUGUAGGCUGCAACUCGCCUACAUGAAGUCGGAAUCGCUAGUAAUCGCGGAUCAGCAUGCCGCGGUGAAUACGUUCCCGGGCCUUGUACACACCGCCCGUCACACCAUGAGAGUUUGUAACACCCAAAGUCGGUGGGGUAACCUUUUAGGAACCAGCCGCCUAAGGUGGGACAGAUGAUUAGGGUGAAGUCGUAACAAGGUAGCCGUAGGAGAACCUGCGGCUGGAUCACCUCCUU
rnacentral:rRNA from 2 species